rnacentral:rRNA from 1 species
UACGGAGGGGGCGAGCGUUUAUUCGGAAUCAUUGGGCGUAAAGGGCGCGUAGGCGGCUUCAUAAGUCUUGGGUGAAAGCCCUCGGCUCAACCGAGGAAUUGCCUUGGAUACUGUGAAGCUCGAGGCUGGAAGAGGGCAGUGGAAUUCCCGGUGUAGCGGUGAAAUGCGUAGAUAUCGGGAGGAACGCCAGUGGCGAAGGCGGCUGCCUGGGCCAGUUCUGACGCUGAGGCGCGAAAGCGUGGGGGAGCAAACAGG